AAUCUCCCAACUAGGACGGACCUGAGGCUGAUGUUAUCCUUCCCUGUUUAUGUUACGUUUGCCACUCGUAGCUUUCUUGUUUUCAACAAGAGGAUUUUCCACUAUCUGCUCCAAAUGCUGCAAGUUCUCCUCUAGCAGGGAGCAGAGCUUCCAGGCAUUAUGAUCUGUCCUGCCUGUCUGGAUGGAACUUCUGCUCCAUACUAUUGAAAUGAAGAGAAUCAGACUACCCACCUUGGAUUCUGAUAUGAAAGAUUUAGGAUAAAAGAGCUACUCCAUCAGCCUGGAAAGAUGACUCACUGGCAAACUCUUAGAUAAAGCUAAACUUCACACCAAACUGCAAGAGAGUCUAAGAAUGAAGAGAAAACUGCUUUGGCAAGCAACUACCUAGUCUCUGACACAGUCCACCUUUUUGGUCAGCCAAUAUCCAGCUCCGCCUUGUCUUCUUACACAAAGCCCAGGCAAAGCCCAGGAUUGCUAACUGUUGUACAAACCUGUUGGUCAGGCCUAGAUGGAAGCUUUCAACCCCAUUUCAAGUCAGCUGGCUUAUCCAACCCUGAAAGGUCUGUGAUCUCUCAGUUCUUUUUAUAAACAGGCCUCUGCUUGCAAAUGGCCAAUUCUUGCCUGAGCUCAUCUCUUUCUUGUAAUACUUUAUGAAAGGCAGCCAGUAGUAACUAAUGCAUAAAUUUUUCCAACCAACUGGCCCAAAGGUCAGUAGACCUUUUUACCAAAUGUUUCGCAAUGUAUAGCAUGAAUCUCCAUCUUUCUCCUCUCUGUUAUCAGGUUCCUCAGUGCCCAACCAUUAUGUCAAUGCCUUUUACCUUAAUUUUUUUCUUAUGGCAACAUUUUCUUCUGGAAUUAUUUCUGUACUGUAGCAAAUGCCCUAAACUGUGUAAAACAGUUUGAAGACACUAUUUUUUUUUCUAUUUUUAUCAUUUGUUCCUCGGUCUACUCAAUACGCUCCCUGCUUAAAACUCCCCUAGUGAUUUUCUGUUGGGUUUAAAAUAGAGUCUAAACUCUUUACCAUGGAUUACAAGCUUCUCUGUUAACUGGUUGUAACCUGCAUUUCCAGCCUCCUUUGGCGCCACUCUUGUCCCACCAACUAUAUCACAUUUCCUUUGGAACAUUUUCUGCUUCUUGAACUUGCCCAGGUCCUUGCUGUUAGCUGGUCCCUUUGCCUAUGAUGAUCUUCCUUCUUAGCAUCACUUGAACUGCAAAAAAUAAAAAAUGAAACAAAAAACAA
rnacentral:lncRNA from 10 species